CAGCCGCCACGGGAACACGGAGGGAGCUAGCGUUGUUCGGAAUUACUGGGCGUAAAGCGCACGUAGGCGGCUUUGUAAGUUAGAGGUGAAAGCCUGGAGCUCAACUCCAGAAUUGCCUUUAAGACUGCAUCGCUUGAAUCCAGGAGAGGUGAGUGGAAUUCCGAGUGUAGAGGUGAAAUUCGUAGAUAUUCGGAAGAACACCAGUGGCGAAGGCGGCUCACUGGACUGGUAUUGACGCUGAGGUGCGAAAGCGUGGGGAGCAAACAGGAUUAGAUACCCCUGUAGUCCCUGUCUCUUAUAA
rnacentral:rRNA from 1 species